AUGCUAUGGUUUCUGGAGGAUAGGGAUUGGGAGUCAGUUCCCCUUUCAGCUUGGACUGGUAGCAGUCAUCUGCAUUCAAGGGUUCAUCAGCAUUAACCUUCACACUAGGUCUGAGAGCCUGGGAAGAGGAAUAUUAGACACCUUACAACUAGCCACAGCAUUUUGCCUGCAAACCUAUAGUAAAAUAGGCAAUACAGGAUAAUCUUUUGAUAUUUAUCUCAGAAAUUCAGUCCUGAUCUUCAUGGACCCUAAUCUCCAUGUUCCAGGCAAAGAACUCAUACACUCAUAAAAUUCUCCUCGUAUUAGCCACUUUAUUAAAAUUCUUCUAUUAGCUUCUAAGCUCCUCAAUGAAGAUGCUGGAGAAGAGUCUCUUGCAAUGCUGCCAGGGAAGUCCUCUCACACUGCCCAGGAAAAUGUGUAAACUAAAAUUGUGUUGCACCAUCUACUAACAAAAUAUGAGUGAAAAUUAAAGUGCUGAUAACUUUUAUUAUUGGAACAGAGGUAGGCAAAAGAAACUCAUAUAUCUUGCUGUUAUAAAUUGAGAAUGUA
rnacentral:lncRNA from 1 species